GAUGAACGCUGACAGAAUGCUUAACACAUGCAAGUCAACUUGAACUUCGGUUUGGGUGGCGGACGGGUGAGUAACGCGUAAAGAACUUGCCUCACAGUUAGGGACAACAUUUGGAAACGAAUGCUAAUACCUGAUAUUAUGAUUUUAGGGCAUCCUAGAAUUAUGAAAGCUAUAUGCGCUGUGAGAGAGCUUUGCGUCCCAUUAGCUAGUUGGAGAGGUAACGGCUCACCAAGGCGAUGAUGGGUAGCCGGCCUGAGAGGGUGAACGGCCACAAGGGGACUGAGACACGGCCCUUACUCCUACGGGAGGCAGCAGUGGGGAAUAUUGGACAAUGGACCAAGAGCCUGAUCCAGCAAUUCUGUGUGCACGAUGAAGUUUUUCGGAAUGUAAAGUGCUUUCAGUUGGGAAGAAAAAAAUGACGAUACCAACAGAAGAAGUGACGGCUAAAUACGUG
rnacentral:rRNA from 1 species